rnacentral:rRNA from 2 species
GACGAACGCUGGCGGCGUGCCUAAUACAUGCAAGUCGAACGCACUUUCGUUAGAUUGAAGAAGCUUGCUUCUGAUUGAUAACAUUUGAGUGAGUGGCGGACGGGUGAGUAACACGUGGGUAACCUGCCCUAAAGUGGGGGAUAACAUUUGGAAACAGAUGCUAAUACCGCAUAAAACCUAGCACUGCAUGGUGCAAGGUUGAAAGAUGGUUUCGGCUAUCACUUUAGGAUGGACCCGCGGUGCAUUAGUUAGUUGGUGAGGUAAAGGCUCACCAAGACCGUGAUGCAUAGCCGACCUGAGAGGGUAAUCGGCCACACUGGGACUGAGACACGGCCCAGACUCCUACGGGAGGCAGCAGUAGGGAAUCUUCCACAAUGGACGAAAGUCUGAUGGAGCAACGCCGCGUGAGUGAAGAAGGUUUUCGGAUCGUAAAACUCUGUUGUUGGAGAAGAACGUAUUUGAUAGUGACUGAUCAGGUAGUGACGGUAUCCAACCAGAAAGCCACGGCUAACUACGUG